rnacentral:rRNA from 1 species
GUUUGAUCAUGGCUCAGAUUGAACGCUGGCGGUAGGCUUAACACAUGCAAGUCGAGCGGAAACGAAGAAUAGCUUGCUAUUCUGGCGUCGAGCGGCGGACGGGUGAGUAAUGCUUGGGAAUCUGCCUAGUCGAGGGGGACAACAGUUGGAAACGACUGCUAAUACCGCAUACGACCUACGGGUGAAAGGGGGCCUCUUCUUGAAAGCUCUCGCGACUAGAUGAGCCCAAGUGGGAUUAGCUUGUUGGUGAGGUAAGAGCUCACCAAGGCGACGAUCCCUAGCUGGUCUGAGAGGAUGAUCAGCCACACUGGAACUGAGACACGGUCCAGACUCCUACGGGAGGCAGCAGUGGGGAAUAUUGCACAAUGGGCGCAAGCCUGAUGCAGCCAUGCCGCGUGUGUGAAGAAGGCCUUCGGGUUGUAAAGCACUUUCAGUCAGGAGGAAAGGUUAGUAGUUAAUACCUGCUAGCUGUGACGUUACUGACAGAAGAAGCACCGGCUAACUCCGUGCCAGCAGCCGCGGUAAUACGGAGGGUGCGAGCGUUAAUCGGAAUUACUGGGCGUAAAGCGUACGCAGGCGGUUUGUUAAGCGAGAUGUGAAAGCCCCGGGCUCAACCUGGGAACUGCAUUUCGAACUGACAAACUAGAGUUUUGUAGAGGGUGGUAGAAUUUCAGGUGUAGCGGUGAAAUGCGUAGAGAUCUGAAGGAAUACCGAUGGCGAAGGCAGCCACCUGGGUCAACACUGACGCUCAUGUACGAAAGCGUGGGGAGCAAACGGGAUUAGAUACCCCGGUAGUCCACGCCGUAAACGAUGUCUACUAGAAGCUCGGAGCCUCGGUUCUGUUUUUCAAAGCUAACGCAUUAAGUAGACCGCCUGGGGAGUACGGCCGCAAGGUUAAAACUCAAAUGAAUUGACG